rnacentral:rRNA from 1 species
CUAAUACCGCAUAAUGUCGCAAGACCAAAGUGGGGGACCUUCGGGCCUCAUGCCAUCAGAUGUGCCCAGAUGGGAUUAGCUAGUAGGUGGGGUAACGGCUCACCUAGGCGACGAUCCCUAGCUGGUCUGAGAGGAUGACCAGCCACACUGGAACUGAGACACGGUCCAGACUCCUACGGGAGGCAGCAGUGGGGAAUAUUGCACAAUGGGCGCAAGCCUGAUGCAGCCAUGCCGCGUGUGUGAAGAAGGCCUUCGGGUUGUAAAGCACUUUCAGCGGGGAGGAAGGCGGUGAGGUUAAUAACCUCAUCGAUUGACGUUACCCGCAGAAGAAGCACCGGCUAACUCCGUGCCAGCAGCCGCGGUAAUACGGAGGGUGCAAGCGUUAAUCGGAAUUACUGGGCGUAAAGCGCACGCAGGCGGUCUGUCAAGUCGGAUGUGAAAUCCCCGGGCUUAACCUGGGAACUGCAUUCGAAACUGGCAGGCUAGAGUCUUGUAGAGGGGGGUAGAAUUCCAGGUGUAGCGGUGAAAUGCGUAGAGAUCUGGAGGAAUACCGGUGGCGAAGGCGGCCCCCUGGACAAAGACUGACGCUCAGGUGCGAAAGCGUGGGGAGCAAACAGGAUUAGAUACCCUGGUAGUCCACGCCGUAAACGAUGUCGAUUUGGAGGUUGUGCCCUUGAGGCGUGGCUUCCGGAGCUAACGCGUUAAAUCGACCGCCUGGGGAGUACGGCCGCAAGGUUAAAACUCAAAUGAAUUGACGGGGGCCCGCACAAGCGGUGGAGCAUGUGGUUUAAUUCGAUGCAACGCGAAGAACCUUACCUGGUCUUGACAUCCACAGAACUUUCCAGAGAUGGAUUGGUGCCUUCGGGAACUGUGAGACAGGUGCUGCAUGGCUGUCGUCAGCUCGUGUUGUGAAAUGUUGGGUUAAGUCCCGCAACGAGCGCAACCCUUAUCCUUUGUUGCCAGCGGUUCGGCCGGGAACUCAAAGGAGACUGCCAGUGAUAAACUGGAGGAAGGUGGGGAUGACGUCAAGUCAUCAUGGCCCUUACGACCAGGGCUACACACGUGCUACAAUGGCAUAUACAAAGAGAAGCGACCUCGCGAGAGCAAGCGGACCUCAUAAAGUAUGUCGUAGUCCGGAUUGGAGUCUGCAACUCGACUCCAUGAAGUCGGAAUCGCUAGUAAUCGUAGAUCAGAAUGCUACGGUGAAUACGUUCCCGGGCCUUGUACACACCGCCCGUCACACCAUGGGAGUGGGUUGCAAAAGAAGUAGGUAGCUUAACCUUCGGGAGGGCGCUUACCACUUUGUGAUUCAUGACUGGGGUGAAGUCGUAACAAGGUAACCGUAGGGGAACCUGCGGUUGGAUCACCUCCUU